rnacentral:rRNA from 1 species
AGUGAACGCUGGCGGUAGGCCUAACACAUGCAAGUCGAACGGCAGCACAGUAAGAGCUUGCUCUUACGGGUGGCGAGUGGCGGACGGGUGAGGAAUACAUCGGAAUCUACUUUUUCGUGGGGGAUAACGUAGGGAAACUUACGCUAAUACCGCAUACGACCUACGGGUGAAAGCAGGGGAUCUUCGGACCUUGCGCGAUUGAAUGAGCCGAUGUCGGAUUAGCUAGUUGGCGGGGUAAAGGCCCACCGAGGCGACGACCCGUAGCUGGUCUGAGAGGAUGAUCAGCCACACUGGAACUGAGACACGGUCCAGACUCCUACGGGAGGCAGCAGUGGGGAAUAUUGGACAAUGGGCGCAAGCCUGAUCCAGCCAUACCGCGUGGGUGAAGAAGGCCUUCGGGUUGUAAAGCCCUUUUGUUGGGAAAGAAAAGCAGCAGGUUAAUACCCCGCUGUUCUGACGGUACCCAAAGAAUAAGCACCGGCUAACUUCGUG